CUUAUUCUGUGGUCAUUCCCUUUCCAUACAUGACUGGGAAUAUGGAAAGCUAAAGUUGGAAUAGGAAUGGCAAUGCGUAAGUUGGUUAAUUUCAUGUUAAUAUUCCCUCAAAUCCACUGUGAGGGAAUGAGGAACAAGGAAUGAGUUAUCUUCUUUUCAUUCCCAUUCCGUAAGUUAACCGGGAAUUUGAAAAGCAAGGAAUGACUCACUUAUUCCUCUGUUAUCCAAUAUUCCUUUGAUGAGGAAGACUAGGAAUGAGUUAUCUUCUUUUCAUUCCCAUUCCGUAAGUUAACCGGGAAUUUGAAAAGCAAGGAAUGACUAACUUAAUUCUCUUGUUAUCGAUCAUUCACUUGUGCAUGCAUGAUAAGGGAUAAGGAAAGCAAGGAAUAAGUUAUCUACGUUUACUUAUUCUUUAUCCAUAAGUGACUGGGACCAAGGAAUGACUAAACUUAAUUCUCUCGUUGAUAAUAUUCCUAAGAGACAAAUGAGGCGGGAUGAGUUUGACGAGGAAUACAUUUGUUAAUUCCGAAACUCAAUCCAAACCUCAUUAUCACUAUUAUUAUUAUGAUUAUCCUAACUGCAUUUGCCUGUAUUAUCAGAAUGAAGCUAAAUAGUGGUCUGGCAAUGAUGUUUAUACCAUUAACCCAGUAGCUACGCGGCGAUCCUGUUUCUUGAAGGCUCCUGAAGGGAUUAGAUUGGACUCGCUAUGCAGGGAAAGGUCAAACAUAUGCUGUGGUUCUUCCCUCACUCACUUUUUAACACGAGGAGCAGAAAAUAAUGUGUCGUUAUUUUCUUUGGUCUGAGAAAGCAUUGUUAAAUAAGUGAAUAGGAAUGGAUUAGAUGAGAAGCUUUUAAUCCAGGGAAAGGUUAGAUAAAAGCUUAGAUUCUUACCUCAGGCUUUGAAUAUAAGAAACCAAAGGAAGAAGGCAAACUAACAUAACCGAAAGAUUAUAAUGUUAUUUUCCUUGGUCUGAGAAAGCAUUGUUAAAUAAGUGAAUAGAAAAGGAACAGAGGGAUUAGAAGGAAUUUGCAAUGCUGGUAAUGGUUAAAUAAAAGCUUGGAUUCUUCCCUCACACUCUUAACAUGAAAAUCCCAAAAUAAUAAGAUACGGAAGAUCAGCUAAAAUGAGCAGAAAGAUUAUUAAGGUGGUCUGUUUUGUUUGGUUUCCUACACAGUAUUAUUAGCAAGCGUUUUUUGAAGUGUUUGAUAAGUAAGUGAUUGUGUAUUGGACUUCAUUUUGUAGCAUUUAUAACCACAUUGAUUUUUUUGUUAUUUUGUAUGGCAUUCUGGAUAUGGCGCCAUGUUGAAAUAAAGGAAGAAUCAAU